rnacentral:rRNA from 1 species
CUUACUCUUACGGGAGGCAGCAUUGGGGACUCCUACGGGAGGCAGCAGUGGGGAAUAUUGGACAAUGGGCGCAAGCCUGAUCCAGCCAUGCCGCGUGAGUGAUGAAGGCCUUCGGGUUGUAAAGCUCUUUCACCCACGACGAUGAUGACGGUACGUGG